GCAGUGCUCCCUCAGUCCCUGGAGUUCCCAGCCAAGCCACAGACCUGCCUCUGAGGAAGGGAAUCGAGCAGGGAGUAGGAGGGGACCUCUGGGGACUCGGGCCUGGAGCUCCUGCCUGCCUGGAUGAAGAGGAGGUCAAGACUUUGUCCCCCACUCCGCAAGAUACCCUCUCUGUUCCGGAGCGGUGGGUCCCUCCCCUGUUAGGACCUUGUCUCCCUCAGGACUGGACCUGGAUCCUGGGCCUGCAGUCAGAUUGCCAGUUUCACUUAGAGGUGGAAAUGUCAACCCACUGGUUGGAAUGGGAAGCUGCUGUGUUGUGAGCCACCUUAUGGAAAACCCAUGUGGCAGAGAACCGAGGGUGGUGGCUGGCCAACAGCAAGCCAGGAGCUGAGGCCCACAGUCCAACAACUGAGACUGGGUCCCACCAUAUUGCCUGGGCUGGCCUCGGACUCUUGACCCCAAGUGAUCCUCUGGCCUCAGCCUCCCAAGCAGCUGGAUUUACAGGCAGGCACCACCGCACCGAGCUAAAAGUUCCCCUCACACAGAGCGGAAGCACAGCCCUGGCAUCAAGUGGGAGCAUGGCCCAGGGCAAGGAGCUCUGGGAGUGCAGCCUGGGGCCUUGAAU
rnacentral:lncRNA from 1 species